UACAGAGGGUGCGAGCGUUAAUCGGAAUUACUGGGCGUAAAGCGCGCGUAGACGGUUUCGUAAGUCGGGUGUGAAAGCCCCGGGCUCAACCUGGGAAUUGCAUUCGAGACUGCGUAGCUAGGGUGCGGAAGAGGGAAGCGGAAUUUCCGGUGUAGCGGUGAAAUGCGUAGAUAUCGGAAGGAACAUCAGUGGCGAAAGCGGCUUCCUGGUCCAGCACCGGCGUUCAGGCACGAAAGCGUGGGGAGCAAACAGG
rnacentral:rRNA from 1 species